UUUGGAAAAUGUAUACAGAUCGCCAUUUUUAAAAACUCUUAACUUUUAAACAUUGCAUUGUUGUUUAAUAAGAUUAACUGUGCUAAAUUAAAAGUUCACUAACAUGUUAGAAAUGGUUCUCCAAUUAUAUAGCUAAACAGAGUGUUACAACACAUGUAUGAGCCUGCAAACCUUCUCAGAACAUCUCUUACUCAUACUAAUCUGGAAUGUCUUAAUAUAAACUCAGUAGGACACAAACAAAAUACCCUUUGUUAAAUUUUUGCUUAGAGUCCAAGUAAUAACUUUCUGACAAUUAUUUUCUUGAUGAUUUUGUCUCUAAUUGGUUAAUUAGAAUAAAUUGAUCUCUAACAUUGAAAUCCAAAUCUCCAAGCUAUGAAUUAUUAGUUUGUUUUUGUAAGUAUGUAUGUGCCAUAAAUAUUUUUGUUUGCUUGAGGAAUUUUUACAUCAUAGUGCAUUGUAUACUACAUGCUAACAGAUUACACGG
rnacentral:lncRNA from 1 species